CGGAGCGAUGGCGGCGGUGUGCGAUCAGGAAUUCCAGUUCCCAAAGUUUGGCCAGAUGUAGGAGGAGGCUGCUAGGAAGAGGAAGAUGCUCCAGGACAUGCAGGCAGGCCACUCCUGGGAUCCCUCAUCCCUCUCUACAGUCCCCCCUCCAACAUCUCCAGGCUUUGGGAAGAGCCCAAAGGGAUGGAAGGGCCUAAAAUGCUGCUGAAGUGCCCAAACUGCUCCCAUCUGUGGAUGUUCCUGUCCACAAACCUCUCCUGGGCUCCUGAUCAAUCUCCUGCUCCCUCCGUGAGGGAAUUUGGGGAUGGGGCAGAGGGGGUGCAUAGCCCCUGCCGGUGGAUGACCCCGCCCCAGCCCCUUCGUUUAGCACUGUGAAAAACAC